UGUAUGUCACUCCUUGAAAACGAUGACAAGUUGAGGGACUAAAGUGGAGGACCCAAGAAAUGAUGAUGAAGUGAGGGUAUUUCAGUCAAUUAAAUUCACACAUACUUCCAACAUCAUGUGCUUCAUCCUAUAUAAUAUAACAACUACUUUUGUCCACUUUUGAUCAUUUUUAUAGUCAUUACACAAAGUACCAAAAACCUCAAAACUCUUCAAUGGCUGACCUCUUUGAUCUGAAAAAACACAACCAAAUGAACAAUGAAGAAACAUAUCAAGUAGCAAUAGUAAUUGUUCCAUAUUUAGAACAAGGACAUCUCAAUCCCCUUCUCAAUCUUUCUCGUAUCCUUUCAUCUUACAAACUUCCUGUAUUUUUCCUAGGUACUAGUACUAGUAAUCGACAGGCGAAAUUCCGGCUUUCUGGUUGGGACAUUCUUGAUUUUCCGACCAUUCGAUUUCAUGACCUUGUACCUGUUCCUCCUGAUUCUUGUUCCUCUGUUUCUGCAGCAGUAAUGGAGAAAAUAGGCUCAUUCUUCACAUCCAUUUUGCUGCUUCGUGAACCAAUUUGGGAGUUUUUGCAGGAAGUUUCGAGUACAUAUAGAAGGACAGUGGUUAUUAAUGACUCAGGCAUGUCAUGGGUAGUUCAAGAUGCAGUGUCAAUCCCCAAUACAGAAUGCUACUGUUUCCAUACAAUUUCUGUGUUCACUGCUCUGUCAUUCGCCUGUGAAACUACGAAAAAGCUACUUCCGUCUCCGGUGGCUGAGAUAAUUGCGGAGCUUCCUCCAAGGGAAAAUACAUUUGAUUCUGAAACCAUAGAAUACAUAAAGAUGCAGCGCGAGUUGAGGAAUUUUUACUCAGUUGGUCUACACAAUUCUUGUAAAGAAAUCGAAGGUGUUUUCAUUGAUUUGCUGGAAGAACAACGCGUAAACAAGCAAUGGGCAAUUGGUCCAUUAAAUCCAGUGAAAAUUUCAAAGAAAAAAAGCUCCGAACAAACUCAUGAAUGUUUUUCAUGGCUUGAUAAGCAAGAUCUAAAUUCAGUGAUUUAUGUUUCGUUUGGAUCGACAACUACGUUAUCGAAAGAACAAAUUAACGAGCUGGCAUUUGGAUUAGAACAAAGUGAGCAAAAAUUUAUUUGGGUUCUUCGAGGAGCUGACAAAAAAGGUGGGGAUAAUAUUGAAAAUGUCGAAAGAGGAAGUAAUUUUGAUUUGCCAGAAGGAUUUGAAGAGAGAAUUAAAGAUAAGGGGGUUGGGUUUAUAGAGAAAAAUUGGGCACCCCAAUUGGAAAUCUUGGCACACGGGUCAACCGGGGGAUUCAUGAGUCAUUGUGGAUGCAAUUCAUGUAUCGAGAGCAUUUCUAUGGGAGUUCCAAUGGCAGCUUGGCCGAUCCAUUCAGAUCAGCCGAGGAACACUGUGCUGAUAACAAAAGUACUGAAGAUCGGGAUCAUUGUGAGAGAUUGGGAAAAUCGAGAUGAAUUGGUAAGUGCUGCGAAAAUUGAAAAUGCGGUGAGAAAUUUGAUGGGUUCUGCAGAAGGAGAGGAGCUGCGGCGGAGAGUGACAAAGUUGAGCAGUGCUGUGAAGAAGUCAGUGAUGAAUGGCGCCAGUCGCAAGGAGAUGGAUUCCUUUGUUGCUCAUAUUACCAGAUGAGUUCACAUUUAUCAGCCUUCCAUUGAUGAAAUUUUUUCCAGAAAUUCAUUUUCAGCAUCAGCAGGCCACUAAUUUGUUUGAGUCGCGACUGACCUGAAAUGCUACGAAAGCUAUAGCACUCAACAUUCGGUAUAGAAGGAGCAUCUUGAAGAACCCAAGCUAUUAAAGAAGCAUAA